AUUUAUAUAGUUUAAUAAAAACAUUACAUUUUCAUUGUAAAAUUAAAAAUUCCUUUUUUAUAAAUA
rnacentral:tRNA from 1 species